AUCUAAAUAGCUUAUAAAAGAGCAUGAUAUUGAAGAUAUCAAGGAAAUAUAAUUAUUUUUAGGUA
rnacentral:tRNA from 1 species